CCGACCAUAGCUCAGUUGGAAGAGCACAAGACUGUAAUUUGAUAACUGCAAAAGUUGCCCAUCUUAGGGACGCCUGUUUGAACCAGGCUAGUCAGA